UGGACCCGUAAUCCGGGUUGCGGACAGUGUCUGGUGGGUAGUUUGACUGGGGCGGUCUCCUCCUAAAGAGUAACGGAGGAGCACGAAGGUUGGCUAAUCCUGGUCGGACAUCAGGAGGUUAGUGCAAUGGCAUAAGCCAGCUUGACUGCGAGCGUGACGGCGCGAGCAGGUGCGAAAGCAGGUCAUAGUGAUCCGGUGGUUCUGAAUGGAAGGGCCAUCGCUCAACGGAUAAAAGGUACUCCGGGGAUAACAGGCUGAUACCGCCCAAGAGUUCAUAUCGACGGCGGUGUUUGGCACCUCGAUGUCGGCUCAUCACAUCCUGGGGCUGAAGUAGGUCCCAAGGGUAUGGCUGUUCGCCAUUUAAAGUGGUACGCGAGCUGGGUUUAGAACGUCGUGAGACAGUUCGGUCCCUAUCUGCCGUGGGCGCUGGAGAACUGAGGGGGGCUGCUCCUAGUACGAGAGGACCGGAGUGGACGCAUCACUGGUGUUCGGGUUGUCAUGCCAAUGGCACUGCCCGGUAGCUAAAUGCGGAAGAGAUAAGUGCUGAAAGCAUCUAAGCACGAAACUUGCCCCGAGAUGAGUUCUCCCUGAGACUUUAGGUCUCCUGAAGGAACGUUGAAGACGACGACGUUGAUAGGCCGGGUGUGUAAGCGCAGCGAUGCGUUGAGCUAACCGGUACUAAUGAACCGUGAGGCUUAACCUU
rnacentral:rRNA from 1 species